rnacentral:rRNA from 1 species
UACAGAGGUCUCAAGCCGUUGUUCGGGAUUCAUUGGGCGUAAAGGGUGCGUAGGCGGCGCGGUAAGUCGGGUGUGAAAUCUUGGAGCUUAACUCCGAAACUGCAUUCGAUACUGCCGUGCUUGAGGACUGGAGAGGAGACUGGAAUUUACGGUGUAGCGGUGAAAUGCGUAGAUAUCGUAAGGAAGACCAGUGGCGAAGGCGGGUCUCUGGGCAGUUCCUGACGCUGAGGCACGAAGGUCAGGGGAGCAAACGGG